rnacentral:rRNA from 1 species
CCUACGGGAGGCAGCAGUGGGGAAUAUUGGACAAUGGGGGCAACCCUGAUCCAGCCAUGCCGCGUGUGUGAAGAAGGCCCUCGGGUUGUAAAGCACUUUCAGUGAGGAAGAACGCCUGGUGGUUAAUACCCAUCAGGAAAGACAUCACUCACAGAAGAAGCACCGGCUAACUCCGUGCCAGCAGCCGCGGUAAUACGGAGGGUGCGAGCGUUAAUCGGAAUUACUGGGCGUAAAGCGCGCGUAGGUGGCUUGAUAAGCCGGUUGUGAAAGCCCCGGGCUCAACCUGGGAACGGCAUCCGGAACUGUCCAGCUAGAGUGCAGGAGAGGAAGGUAGAAUUCCCGGUGUAGCGGUGAAAUGCGUAGAGAUCGGGAGGAAUACCAGUGGCGAAGGCAGCCUUCUGGACUGACACUGACACUGAGGGGCGAAAGCGUGGGUAGCAAACAGGAUUAGAUACCCGGGUAGUA